rnacentral:rRNA from 1 species
GCCCUGCACUCUGGGAUAAGCCUGGGAAACUGGGUCUAAUACCGGAUAUGACCUUCUCUCGCAUGGGGGAGGGUGGAAAGCUUUUGCGGUGCAGGAUGGGCCCGCGGCCUAUCAGCUUGUUGGUGGGGUAGUGGCCUACCAAGGCGACGACGGGUAGCCGGCCUGAGAGGGUGACCGGCCACACUGGGACUGAGACACGGCCCAGACUCCUACGGGAGGCAGCAGUGGGGAAUAUUGCACAAUGGGCGAAAGCCUGAUGCAGCGACGCCGCGUGAGGGAUGACGGCCUUCGGGUUGUAAACCUCUUUCAGCAGGGAAGAAGCCUUGCCUUUUUGGGUGGGUGACGGUACUUGCAGAAGAAGCACCGGCUAACUACGUGCCAGCAGCCGCGGUAAUACGUAGGGUGCAAGCGUUGUCCGGAUUUAUUGGGCGUAAAGAGCUCGUAGGCGGCUUGUCACGUCGAUUGUGAAAGCUCAGGGCUUAACCCUGGGUCUGCAGUCGAUACGGGCAGGCUAGAGUUCGGUAGGGGAGACUGGAAUUCCUGGUGUAGCGGUGAAAUGCGCAGAUAUCAGGAGGAACACCGGUGGCGAAGGCGGGUCUCUGGGCCGAUACUGACGCUGAGGAGCGAAAGCGUGGGGAGC